AUAGCGUGGUGUGGACAUCUACGAAUUAGAUCUUUGAAUCUCUCCCAAGUCUCAUGGAAUAUUUCUCCAUCCAUCUAGAAAAAAUUGAUAAUGGCUUUUUUAAUUU